UACGUAGGGGGCGAGCGUUGUCCGAAGUUACUGGGCGUAAAGCGCGCGUAGGCGGGUUCUUAAGUGAGGGGUGAAAGGUUCGGGCUCAACCCGGACACUGCCUUUCAUACUGGGAGCCUUGAGUGCGGGAGAGGCGAGUGGAAUGGCUGGUGUAGCGGUGAAAUGCGUAGAGAUCAGUCGGAACACCCAUGGCGAAGGCAGCUCGCUGGCCUGCAACUGACGCUGAGGCGCGAAAGCGUGGGGAGCAAACAGG
rnacentral:rRNA from 1 species